rnacentral:rRNA from 1 species
AUACGGAGGAUGCAAGCGUUAUCCGGAUUUAUUGGGUUUAAAGGGUGCGUAGGCGGUUUGCUAAGCGGGAGGUGAAAUGCCGGCGCUCAACGUCGGAAGUGCCUCCCGAACUGGUGGACUGGAAUGACUCUGCCGUGGGAGGAAUGUGUAGUGUAGCGGUGAAAUGCUUAGAGAUUACACAGAACACCGAUUGCGAAGGCAUCGCACGAAGGGUUGAUUGACGCUGAGGCACGAAAGCGUGGGGAUCAAACAGGAUUAGAUACCCUGGUAGUCCACGCAGUAAACGAUGAUGGCUAACCGCUGGGCUUAUCAGUUCAGUGGCCAAGCGAAAGCGAUAAGCCAUCCACCUGGGGAGUACGACCGCAAGGUUGAAACAAAAAGGAAUUGACGGGG